rnacentral:rRNA from 1 species
GACGAACGCUGGCGGCGUGCCUAAUACAUGCAAGUAGAACGCAGUUGCGAACGGGUGAGUAACGAGUAGGUAACUGCCCCAUAGCGGGGGAUAAAUAUUGGAAACGAUAGCUAAUACAGCAUACUGUGAGAUGGACCUGCGUUGUAGUAGCUAGUUGGUGAGGUAAAGGGGCACAAAGGCGACGAUACAUAGCCGACCUGAGAGGGUGAUCGGCUAGGCGAGAACGCAGACGAGGCCCAGAGUCGGACGGGAGGCAGCAGAAGGGAAGCUACGGCAAUGGACGGAAGGCUGACGUAGCAACACCGCGUGGGUGAAGAAGGUUGUCGGUUCGUAAGGCUGUGUUGUUAGAGAUGCGGUAACUAACCAGAAAAGGACGGCGAACGACGUGGCAGCAGCCGCGGUAAUUC